UAGGGAAUCUUCGGCAAUGGGGGCAACCCUGACCGAGCAACGCCGCGUGAGUGAAGAAGGUUUUCGGAUCGUAAAGCUCUGUUGUAAGUCAAGAACGGGUGUGAGAGUGGAAAGUUCACACUGUGACGGUAGCUUACCAGAAAGGGACGGCUAACUACGUGCCAGCAGCCGCGGUAAUACGUAGGUCCCGAGCGUUGUCCGGAUUUAUUGGGCGUAAAGCGAGCGCAGGCGGUUUGAUAAAUCUGAAGUUAAAGGCUGUGGCUCAACCAUAGUUCGCUUUGGAAACUGUCAAACUUGAGUGCAGAAGGGGAGAGUGGAAUUCCAUGUGUAGCGGUGAAAUGCGUAGAUAUAUGGAGGAACACCGGUGGCGAAAGCGGCUCUCUGGUCUGUAACUGACGCUGAGGCUCGAAAGCGUGGGGAGCGAACAGG
rnacentral:rRNA from 2 species